rnacentral:rRNA from 1 species
AGAGAAUACCAAGGCGCUUGAGAGAACUCGGGUGAAGGAACUAGGCAAAAUGGUGCCGUAACUUCGGGAGAAGGCACGCUGAUAGGUAGGUGAAGCCCCUGCGGGCGGAGCUGAAAUCAGUCGAAGAUACCAGCUGGCUGCAACUGUUUAUUAAAAACACAGCACUGUGCAAACACGAAAGUGGACGUAUACGGUGUGAC